GAACGCUGGCGGCAUGCCUUACACAUGCAAGUCGAACGGCAGCACGGGAGCAAUCCUGGUGGCGAGUGGCGAACGGGUGAGUAAUAUAUCGGAACGUGCCCAGUCGUGGGGGAUAACGUAGAGAAAUUUACGCUAAUACCGCAUACGAUCUAAGGAUGAAAGCGGGGGAUCGCAAGACCUCGCGCGAUUGGAGCGGCUGAUAUCAGAUUAGGUUGUUGGUGAGGUAAAAGCUCACCAAGCCGACGAUCUGUAGCUGGUUUGAGAGAACGACCAGCCACACUGGGACUGAGACACGGCCCAGACUCCUACGGGAGGCAGCAGUGGGGAAUUUUGGACAAUGGGCGAAAGCCUGAUCCAGCAAUGCCGCGUGUGGGAAGAAGGC
rnacentral:rRNA from 1 species